rnacentral:rRNA from 1 species
GACGAACGCUGGCGGCGUGCCUAAUACAUGCAAGUCGAACGAACCGCGACUAAGUGCUUGCACUAAGUCAAGGUGAGUGGCGAACGGGUGAGUAACACGUGGGUAACCUACCUCAUAGUGGGGGAUAACAGUCGGAAACGACUGCUAAUACCGCAUAGGACAUAGGAUCACAUGAUCCAGUGAGGAAAGGUGGCGCAAGCUAUCGCUAAGAGAUGGACCCGCGGUGCAUUAGCUAGUUGGUAGGGUAAAGGCCUACCAAGGCGAUGAUGCAUAGCCGACCUGAGAGGGUGAUCGGCCACAUUGGGACUGAGACACGGCCCAAACUCCUACGGGAGGCAGCAGUAGGGAAUCUUCCGCAAUGGACGCAAGUCUGACGGAGCAACGCCGCGUGAGUGAAGAAGGUCUUCGGAUCGUAAAGCUCUGUUGUUAGAGAAGAACAGCGCAUAGAGUAACUGCUAUGCGUGUGACGGUAUCUAACCAGAAAGCCACGGCUGACUACGUG